CUCUGACGUCACGCGCACCCUGCAAACGACCCGGAAGACGAGGAUCCGGGAGGCUGCAGCGAAUAUGGUGUUGUUAAGACGCUCCCCUCCAAAUACUGAGCAGGUUCUGUGCCCAUACCGAUUUCUUAAAGAAAUGAUUGACCACAGAAAGUUUGUCAUGUCCUGCUGUUUGUUUGCUUUUCAUUUUGUCUCUUGUGAAUUUUUGUUUUUUUAUAGGCCAGCAUAUUUUAUUUUAUUAUGAACCCCUUUGCUACUUGUGUAAAACAAAAAACAUUUGAAAAAUUA